rnacentral:rRNA from 1 species
UACGUAGGGGGCAAGCGUUGUCCGGAAUUAUUGGGCGUAAAGAGCUCGUAGGCGGUCUGUCGCGUCGGCUGUGAAAACCCGGGGCUCAACCCCGGGCCUGCAGUCGAUACGGGCAGACUAGAGUGCGGUAGGGGAGACUGGAAUUCCUGGUGUAGCGGUGAAAUGCGCAGAUAUCAGGAGGAACACCGGUGGCGAAGGCGGGUCUCUGGGCCGUAACUGACGCUGAGGAGCGAAAGCGUGGGGAGCGAACAGG